AACGAACGCUGGCGGCGUGGAUAAGACAUGCAAGUCGAACGAGAGAAUUGCUAGCUUGCUAAUAAUUCUCUAGUGGCGCACGGGUGAGUAACACGUGAGUAACCUGCCCCCGAGAGCGGGAUAGCCCUGGGAAACUGGGAUUAAUACCGCAUAGUAUCGAAAGAUUAAAGCAGCAAUGCGCUUGGGGAUGGGCUCGCGGCCUAUUAGUUAGUUGGUGAGGUAACGGCUCACCAAGGCGAUGACGGGUAGCCGGUCUGAGAGGAUGUCCGGCCACACUGGAACUGAGACACGGUCCAGACACCUACGGGUGGCAGCAGUCGAGAAUCAUUCACAAUGGGGGAAACCCUGAUGGUGCGACGCCGCGUGGGGGAAUGAAGGUCUUCGGAUUGUAAACCCCUGUCAUGUGGGAGCAAAUUAAAAAGAUAGUACCACAAGAGGAAGAGACGGCUAACUCUGUGCCAGCAGCCGCGGUAAUACAGAGGUCUCAAGCGUUGUUCGGAAUCACUGGGCGUAAAGCGUGCGUAGGCUGUUUCGUAAGUCGUGUGUGAAAGGCGCGGGCUCAACCCGCGGACGGCACAUGAUACUGCGAGACUAGAGUAAUGGAGGGGGAACCGGAAUUCUCGGUGUAGCAGUGAAAUGCGUAGAUAUCGAGAGGAACACUCGUGGCGAAGGCGGGUUCCUGGACAUUAACUGACGCUGAGGCACGAAAGCCAGGGGAGUGAAAGGGAUUAGAUACCCCUGUAGUCCUGGCAGUAAACGGUGCACGCUUGGUGUGCGGGGAAUCGACCCCCUGCGUGCCGGAGCUAACGCGUUAAGCGUGCCGCCUGGGGAGUACGGUCGCAAGAUUAAAACUCAAAGAAAUUGACGGGGACCCGCACAAGCGGUGGAGUAUGUGGCUUAAUUCGAUGCAACGCGAAGAACCUUACCUGGGCUUGACAUGUAAUGAACAACAUGUGAAAGCAUGCGACUCUUCGGAGGCGUUACACAGGUGCUGCAUGGCCGUCGUCAGCUCGUGUCGUGAGAUGUUUGGUUAAGUCCAGCAACGAGCGCAACCCCUGUUGCCAGUUACCAGCACGUGAAGGUGGGGACUCUGGCGAGACUGCCCAGAUCAACUGGGAGGAAGGUGGGGACGACGUCAGGUCAGUAUGGCCCUUAUGCCCAGGGCUGCACACGUACUACAAUGCCCAGUACAGAGGGGGCCGAAGCCGCGAGGCGGAGGAAAUCCUAAAAACUGGGCCCAGUUCGGACUGUAGGCUGCAACCCGCCUACACGAAGCCGGAAUCGCUAGUAAUGGCGCAUCAGCUACGGCGCCGUGAAUACGUUCCCGGGUCU
rnacentral:rRNA from 1 species